rnacentral:rRNA from 1 species
UGUGACGGUACCUGCAGAAGAAGCACCGGCUAACUACGUGCCAGCAGCCGCGGUAAUACGUAGGGUGCGAGCGUUGUCCGGAAUUACUGGGCGUAAAGAGCUCGUAGGUGGUUUGUCGCGUCGUCUGUGAAAUUCCGGGGCUUAACUCCGGGCGUGCAGGCGAUACGGGCAUAACUUGAGUGCUGUAGGGGAGACUGGAAUUCCUGGUGUAGCGGUGAAAUGCGCAGAUAUCAGGAGGAACACCGAUGGCGAAGGCAGGUCUCUGGGCAGUUACUGACGCUGAGGAGCGAAAGCAUGGGUAGCGAACAGGAUUAGAUACCCUGGUAGUCCAUGCCGUAAACGAUGAGUGCUAAGUGUUGGAGGGUUUCUGCUCUUCAGUGCUGCAGCUAACGCAUUAAGCACUCCGCCUGGGGAGUACGACCGCAAGGUUG